CAAACUGUGAUCCGUACCGUAUGCAUUAACCAUUAGGAAACCUCUGGACUCGUGUAACGCCAUUAGUUCGCCUGAUGUUUCCUGUGAUACGCCAGUGUCUUGUGUACUACAGCGCCCGUCCGAGCUGCCUUUGUUCUCGCCUGUCCGCGUUCGCUCGUGGAAUACCUGAUACUGUGGCUUCGAAUUAUGGUGCGUGGAAGAAUUUGUUGAAAGUUGUGCUUUCGUGCGCUGGUGUUCAUCGGCAAUUCGACAGUGUUCGCGCCGGAGGGAGCGUCGUCGCGUGGUGCCUGCGAGACGAAGAAGCCGUUUGCUGACCACAUUGAAGGUGCCUUGUGAGCUCUCACCGAAGCACCACAUUCCAGAGGUCUGUUCUGAGCAGACCUGGCAAAUUGAAGUAACAUCCAGAUAGUCCAAUAAACUGUUCGUAGUUUCAGACAAA
rnacentral:lncRNA from 1 species